rnacentral:antisense_RNA from 1 species
AAGUAUAAAUCAGCUCUCUGUGUAUGUCCCUGUGUGGUGGUGUAACUGACAACAGGUAGGGUUCCUGAUGGGAUUGGGUUCCACCAAUCAGAGCCACUUGCAUGAGACCUCAACUGAGAGCCAGGAUGUCAUCUCCACCAGAACAAGGACUACGUUUUGUAUGUUGCUGUUCCGUUAGUGCCAGAACAUGCCCACCCCUGCUCAGUAAAUAAGCGUUAAGUGAAUGGAUUAAUAAGUGAAAGGCUGUGUUUGAAGAGGAGGGGCUCACUCUAAAUCUUGAAGAUGUUCAGCCUCGAAAAAGUAGAAGUCAUUGUGACCAAAGAUGAUGCCACCAUGCCUUUGAAAAAGAAAGGUGAUGAGCCUCAAAUGGAAAAAUACAUUCAAGAAAGGUCAAUGCUACCACCAUUCCCCUCUGCCCCUCCACUCCUGAGGCCAUCAUGAUGAAGCCAGUGGGAACUCCAGUGGAAGGACCCAGACAGGAAUAAGAUCACCUGGGCCUUCACCUUCCUUCACCGACCGAGAGCUCUUCUCUUCCUGCGCUUUUAUUUUAAUCUAGGACAUCCCCUCACUUGGCUCCUAGAGGCCCUGUUUCAUUUAAUUUGGCCUCCUUGCCCAAGCAGAAUCCUGGGCAAGCCUGGGAACCUAAUACCCUGAAUUCAAAUGAAGUUGCCUGGAGGAAACUGAAUGAAUCAGGUAGCUAAGAUUUGGCCUAAUGUUGAUCUAUUUUUGGCCAAAGCCAACCUCCACUAAUAGGUCUCUACUAAUAGACUUGCAAAGAUGGAGCUCUGAAUCAAUGCUAAACCAGAGUUAUAAAUCAUGAAGACGUUUGCUGUCUUUUUACCUCCCAGGGAUGGGAGUGAAUGGGAGAGGACUCUGACCAUGAAGCGCUCUAAUCUAAACUCGGAGAAAAUUCUCCCAGCCAUUCUUCUGCUCACAGAAUUUCCGCGGCACCAGUCUCCCUGCAGCUUUGACAAGUGAGCUAUUUUAGUAUGAGAACAAGUAGAGUUAUUGUUAUCUCUGCUCUGAAUCAAGGAUAAAAAGAAAAGGUGAGCGGGAGAAGGAGGGUGUGAGAGAGAAGAACUGGGGGUGAGGUGCGGAAAAGCAGAAAGGACUUCAGAUACCGAAAGAAAAGGAGCCAGGUGCUCUUCCCGGGAAGGAAGUCACCAGCCGGCCGGUUUGUGGAUUGAAAUCAGCACGUGACCCCUCAGCAACCAUAGUAACAGUCCCUCCCUCUGGUCUCACAGGGCUCUGGAGGGGUGAAGACAGCACGAUACAUGCCAAGGUGCCUUGUCAGUGGUGAAGUGUUGUCUACAUAGGGUGGCAGCUCCCUGUUUGACCAGGGAGCUACUGCGCCUUUCCCACAACCCCACCCAAAGACUCAGGACGGCCCAGGCCAGAAGGAAAUUUAGACAGCAGACCCUCCGUCAGCAGAUACCUUUCCCUGCUCUUCCUAUCGGGUCACCUAGACCCUUAACAAGGGUGCUAUUUUAGCAAGAAACUGAAAAUAAAAAGAGAAUCUGCCCUCCGAACAUGCUGAACACUUAUUUUAGCACACAGCCCCAUGGAGGGUCAGCGCUCCACGCAUGUUUUAAAGCGUUUGUGCCUGCUUAUUUUGAGACCGGCAGGGCCUGAGCCACAGCUUCCUGGAUUCUGCUUUGUCAGCAAGAAAGAUUUGCUGCCAUAGAUAUGCUGAGCUCCCUCUGCGGCCGCCCUUCUCCUGGAAUCUGGCUGAGAUGAGAAGUUUAUCCCAGCACUUAAAGGAAGAGACUUCCUCCAGCUCCCACUUCUGCCUCACCCCUCCGCCUCCCACUGACAAACAGGCCUGGCUGCAAGGUGUGCGUGUCACCAGGACCUGGCCACCAGAGGGCGACAGAGAGCAAUGAGGGCCGAACAGUUUCCCAGAAGGAGCCAAAUCCCCUGACACAUCUGCUCCCUCCUCCAGCCCAAAAACUGCCAGACUUGCUAGCAUUUGCCAGUCCACCGAAACAAACAUCUCACCUUCAUCGUACAGUUCCUUGGUAAACUCUUAUUUUCUUCUUUAUCAAGUUUGGAUGGAAAACAAAACAAUUAAUUUUAAGAGCAGCACACAAGAACCUAAACA